rnacentral:rRNA from 1 species
UACGGAGGAUUCAAGCGUUAUCCGGAUUUAUUGGGUUUAAAGGGUGCGUAGGCGGUCGGAUAAGUUAGAGGUGAAAUCCCGAGGCUCAACUUCGGAAUUGCCUCUGAUACUGUUCGGCUAGAGAGUAGUUGCGGUAGGCGGAAUGUAUGGUGUAGCGGUGAAAUGCAUAGAUAUCACGCAGAACCCCGAUUGCGAAGGCAGCCUGCCAAGCCAUGACUGACGCUGAUGCACGAAAGCGUGGGGAUCGAACAGG